UAGGGAAUCUUCGGCAAUGGACGAAAGUCUGACCGAGCAACGCCGCGUGAGUGAAGAAGGUUUUCGGAUCGUAAAACUCUGUUGUUAGAGAAGAACAAGGACGUUAGUAACUGAACGUCCCCUGACGGUAUCUAACCAGAAAGCCACGGCUAACUACGUGCCAGCAGCCGCGGUAAUACGUAGGUGGCAAGCGUUGUCCGGAUUUAUUGGGCGUAAAGCGAGCGCAGGCGGCUUCUUAAGUCUGAUGUGAAAGCCCCCGGCUCAACCGGGGAGGGUCAUUGGAAACUGGGAGACUUGAGUGCAGAAGAGGAGAGUGGAAUUCCAUGUGUAGCGGUGAAAUGCGUAGAUAUAUGGAGGAACACCAGUGGCGAAGGCGGCUCUCUGGUCUGUAACUGACGCUGAGGCUCGAAAGCGUGGGGAGCAAACAGG
rnacentral:rRNA from 1 species